rnacentral:piRNA from 1 species
AAGAACGGUUCUGUAUAUGUGAGUGAGU